UGACCUCGGAUCAGGUAGGAAUACGCGCUGAACUUAAGCAUAUCAAUAAGCGCAGGAAAAGAAACCAACAGGGAUUACCUCAGUAACGGCGAGUGAAGCGGUAAUAGCUCAAAUUUGAAAUCUGGCCUCUUGGGGUCCGAGUUGUAAUUUGUAGAGGAUGUUUUGGGUACCGCCCCGGUCUAAAUUUCUUGGAACAGAAUGUCAUAGAGGGUGAGAAUCCCGUCUUGGACCGGCGGUAGGGCCUGUGUAAAACUCCUUCGACGAGUCGAGUUGUUUGGGAAUGCAGCUCAAAAUGGGUGGUAAAUUUCAUCUAAAGCUAAAUAUUGGCCAGAGACCGAUAGCGCACAAGUAGAGUGAUCGAAAGAUGAAAAGCACUUUGAAAAGAGAGUUAAACAGUAUGUGAAAUUGUUGAAAGGGAAGCGCUUGCAACCAGACUUGAGCGCGGCGGUUCCCCCGGUCUUUUGGCCGGGCUACUCCGUCGUGUCCAGGCCAACAUCGGUUCUGAGGGUCGGUCAAAGGCCUUGGGAAUGUAUCUACCCACGGGUAGACUUAUAGACCAGGGUGUCAUGCGACCUCUCGGGACCGAGGAACGCGCUUCGGCUCGGAUGUUGGCGUAAUGGUUGUCAGCGACCCGUCUUGAAACACGGACCAAGGAGUCUAACAUCUAUGCGAGUGUUUGGGUGUCAAACCCGGAACGCGAAAUGAAAGUGAACGGAGGUAGGAAGCUUCGGCUGCACUAUCGACCGAUCCUGAAGUUUACGGAUGGAUUUGAGUAAGAGCAUAGCUGUUGGGACCCGAAAGAUGGUGAACUAUGCCUGAAUAGGGUGAAGCCAGAGGAAACUCUGGUGGAGGCUCGCAGCGGUUCUGACGUGCAAAUCGAUCGUCAAAUUUGGGUAUAGGGGCGAAAGACUAAUCGAACCAUU
rnacentral:ncRNA from 1 species